rnacentral:miRNA from 1 species
UCCAAGAAAACUAUUCUCUCUCUCUCUCUCUCUCUCUCUCUCUCUCUCUCUCUCUCUGUGUGUGUGUGUGUGAGAGAGAGAGAGAGAGAGAGAGAGAGAGUUUGUGGAGUUCACACAUUAG